rnacentral:rRNA from 1 species
UACGUAGGGUGCAAGCGUUGUCCGGUUUUAUUGGGUUUAAAGGGUGCGUAGGUGGCUGUUUAAGUCAUGGGUGAACGCCCACAGCUCAACUGUGGAACUGCCUGUGAUACUGAAUAGCUUGAGUGCGGUUGAGGCAGCUGGAAUUGGUGGGGUAGCGGUGAAGUGCAUAGAUACCACCAGGAACACCGAUUGCGAAGGCAGGUUGCUAAGCCGUAACUGACACUGAGGCACGAUAGCGUGGGGAUCAUACAGA